rnacentral:misc_RNA from 1 species
GGUACCAUUCUUCAUUGCCCCCACCAUGCCAGAUGAAUUGUUAAUUUCCUUUAAUUUUAGCAACCCCCUUAAUCCACCCUUGGACUUGGUUCUUUGGAAGGGAAUUACGUUAUUUUUAGGCAAAAAAGGGCCGUUCACCCCGUACCCAUUAGGUAUUCCGCAUCCGAGAGCUCGAGCAAUAACUCACGUGCCGCUACAACACCCGAGUUGAGUGGCGCGGAAGGCAAUUAUUGCUAUGUGGUUCACCGAAAGCAGCACAUUUAGAAGGGCCAGCACUAGGCGAACGUUGGAUGAUUUGACAACCGAAUUCCAUUGCAGUAGGUAUGCAACACAGGAAACCCACAAAUACGGCCAAGGCUAAUGUUGCUCUUGAACCAAUAGGUGAAGAG